rnacentral:rRNA from 1 species
CUACGGGGCGCUCCAGUGGGGAAUCUUAGACAAUGGGGGAAACCCUGAUCUAGCCAUGCCGCGUGAGUGAUGAAGGCCUUAGGGUCGUAAAGCUCUUUCGCCAGGGAUGAUAAUGACAGUACCUGGUAAAGAAACCCCGGCUAACUCCGUGCCAGCAGCCGCGGUAAUACGGAGGGGGUUAGCGUUGUUCGGAAUUACUGGGCGUAAAGCGCGCGUAGGCGGAUUAGAAAGUUGGGGGUGAAAUCCCGGGGCUCAACCCCGGAACUGCCUCCAAAACUACUAGUCUAGAGUUCGAGAGAGGUGAGUGGAAUUCCGAGUGUAGAGGUGAAAUUCGUAGAUAUUCGGAGGAACACCAGUGGCGAAGGCGGCUCACUGGCUCGAUACUGACGCUGAGGUGCGAAAGUGUGGGGAGCAAACAGGAUUAGAUACCCCGGUAGUC